rnacentral:rRNA from 1 species
UACGUAGGUGGCAAGCGUUGUCCGGAUUUACUGGGCGUAAAGGAUGCGUAGGCGGACAUUUAAGUCAGAUGUGAAAUACCCGAGCAUAACUUGGGUGCUGCAUUUGAAACUGGGUGUCUAGAGUGCAGGAGAGGUAAGUGGAAUUCCUAGUGUAGCGGUGAAAUGCGUAGAGAUUAGGAAGAACACCAGUGGCGAAGGCGACUUACUGGACUGUAACUGACGCUGAGGCAUGAAAGCGUGGGGAGCAAACAGG